AUUGAACGCUGGCGGCAUGCCUUACACAUGCAAGUCGAACGGCAGCGGGGGAGAAGCUUGCUUUUCUUGCCGGCGAGUGGCGAACGGGUGAGUAAUACAUCGGAACGUGCCCUGUAGUGGGGGAUAACUAGUCGAAAGAUUAGCUAAUACCGCAUACGACCUGAGGGUGAAAGUGGGGGACCGCAAGGCCUCAUGCUAUAGGAGCGGCCGAUGUCUGAUUAGCUAGUUGGUGGGGUAAAGGCCUACCAAGGCGACGAUCAGUAGCUGGUCUGAGAGGACGAUCAGCCACACUGGGACUGAGACACGGCCCAGACCCCUACGGGAGGCAGCAGUGGGGAAUUUUGGACAAUGGGCGAAAGCCUGAUCCAGCAAUGCCGCGUGUGUGAAGAAGGCCUUCGGGUUGUAAAGCACUUUUGUCCGGAAAGAAAUGGCUCUGGUUAAUACCUGGGGUCGAUGACGGUACCGGAAGAAUAAGGACCGGCUAACUACGUGCCAGCCGCCGCAGUAAAAC
rnacentral:rRNA from 1 species